UUUCCGGUUCCAUGAGAGGAGCGAAGGAAUCAAAAGGGAAUCCGGUGAGAAUCCGGAACAGUACCCGCUGCUGUAAGUCCUCGGGAAAUGUCGGCGACACAUGCCGUCAGAUCCCCAUACAGCGUCGCAAGGCCAUUGGGAUACCAACUCCCGAGAAGGCGCGGCGCCAUGGACAAGUCAGAAGACCUGCCGUUUCGC
rnacentral:ncRNA from 1 species